CUGCUCUGUCGGGUGACAGGCUGUAAGUGCGAGUCAGCAUCUGCUGGGUGGAUGACACCCCUCCCUUCUGACCCCAGAGCAGGGACGCGCUCACCCAACUGCGGAGCUGCCUCUUAAGAACUCCAGACGACGCUUCACAGUCUUAAAGCAGAGGAAGGCCACAGGGUCUCAGUUGUGCUGUUCAUUCUCCCUCAGAGAACAUUCUCCCUGGAGAUGGACAGCCUGCCCAGGGUACCUGAAGCCUGAACCACUGGAGAGACCAUGGUCUUCUUACCAGCCUUUCACCUCUGAUAAAAGUUUCAAACAAAGCUGGGAGUUUGUUGACUUGUGAAGGCCAGGUGAUCUGUGGACGAUCUCAGGUCAACAGAGCUGAAGAAUGGCAGCAGUUCAGUAAAGGGACAAAGGCCACCAAAGGGAGAGGGGUCGGCAGACUUCUAUAAAGGGCCAGCGGGGAAAUAUUUUCAGCUUUUCAAGCUAAACAGUCUGUUGCCACGUCUCAAAUCUGCAGUUGCAGCGCAAAAGCAACCAUAGAUAAUAUGUAACGAACAAAUGUGGCUGUGUUCCAUUAAAACUUUAUUUUGGGGCACUGAAAUUUGAAUUUCGUAUAAUUAUCACAUGUCAUGAAAUAUUAUUCUUCUUCUCAUUUCCC
rnacentral:lncRNA from 10 species